CCCUUGCCCCGUCCCUGCACAGAUCCAGGCUGUCUCUUGCGGUGCGCAUGCACCUACCGUAUCGUUAUCAACGUCUCCGAGGCAGAUUGCGUGCGGGAAGAGGCUCCCGCUGAACUCCAGCGCCACGCGCUGCACGUAGCUAACUGACCUCAUGGCACCUCCAAGAGCAGAGGGAGCGGAGAGGCCCAGUAAAUAUUCCCUGAACCCCCGUCGCGACAGCCGCCAGAGCGGAAGGCCACCUAAGGCAGCAAGUUACGUCACUGCCUGAACCUCCAAUCUCUGCCUCUUCCUCCUUUAACCUUACAGAGGAGGCGGGUCUUCCGGGCUUGGAGGCGGGCUUCCCAACUCUGAUGUGAGUGACAGGCCCACGGGCCACUCCUUUUCUCCACAGGGCUGCAGACCGUGGGUAAACCAACCCUGACGGGGGUCGAUCUGUUCCCUUGGCAACAGGGCUCCCAAGGGCUUGACCUAAUAACCUUGACCUUUUUCCUUUGUUUCCCUGGCAAUGAAGAUUCCUAGCCAUCAGACCAUUCCUGAGAAUCUUACUAAUCUUCGUAAUAACUGAUAAUUGCAUGGUUUUGAAAAGUGUUUUUAAAAAACUACCCAUUAGGAGUGAAAACAAUGUAGUGAGUUGCAAUCAGCAUAUAAAAAAUUAAAUACAAUAGUAAUAUACCAAGUGACUCCCAGGUAGUAAGGAUGCAGAGCUGGAAGAAACCUCAGGAAUGCUUUCGAUUUUGCAGAUGAGGACAGAAGCCCAGGACUUGCCAAAGGAACCUCAUGGGAGAGUCUGGAUUAGUUCAGAGACCUCACCUUUCCAUUUAACUUCUGAGUCUUGGUUUUCUUAUCUGUAAAUAGGGUUAUUAAAGUUAUACCUUCUUUGUAGGAUGGUUGCAAGGAUUCAGUUUCACUCAUGUGAUGCUGUCAGUACAGUGCUAGGCUUACUCCAUAAAUGCUUGAGUUAGUGAUUAUUGUUGGCUGCAGGCGUAAGAAUCUACUACUUUUGAAAUACCAAGAGGACCCAGACACAAACCACAAACACAGGGCUGUGAUGUGAGGUAAGCCCAGUAAGAAAGCAGUUACACAGGGACUUUUUUAAAAAAGAGAUGGUCUCACUCUCUUGCCCAGGCUGGCGUGCAGUGGCACAGUCACAGUUCUCUGCAUCCUUGGUGUCUUGGGCUCAAGGGAUACUCACACUGGGAGACUUGUACACCCCAAUUUUAAUCCUGGCUCCAGCAUCAGCUGUGUUGUAUGACUUGGUGAAAAUUUUCACACAGAAAUACAUCUUCCACCAUUAUACAUUUCUUCUGGAAGGAACUAUACAGGCAUGUGGCUAAGCAGACAACCACAUCGCUGUUGGGAAAGGACUGGAGAGCUCACAGUAGGAGAGAGGGAUGAGGGCAGACACGGGCUCUGGCCUGGAGCCAGGAUUAUCUGGAGGCAGCUCAGCAUGACUGGCUUGUGCUGCCUGGCUUCUCCCAGGGCCCCAUCAUGCCAUAGGAGUUAAGGGUCAAAGCAUAGUUAGAAAAAAAGCACAAGCCUUUUCCUGUUAAGGCUGAGAAGGAAGCUGGACGUGAACACUCUGCUUUACUCUUAACCUUAAUCAUGUAAGUUAUCUGACAGGAGGAGGUCAGUGACACCAGGAGUUUUACCUUGUUAACAAACCAAAAUGCAGAUACCUCUGCCAGAUCAGAGGUAGGCAGAAGACCAAUUCCAACUUCAAAAUGAACAUGCAUGGUGUCCCAGUCUUCUAGAUCUUUAUACUUUCGUCUUCCUAAGUGUCAGGGAAGAAAACCAGAGGCACUAAAACUGCCAGGUUGCUGGAGGGAGGGAGUGCUGGGAACCUUGGGCGAAGCCAUAGACACAAAUCCCAGCGGCAGCCUGUGCAGUGCUCAGGAAGCCAUGCAUGGUGGGGCUGCUUCCUGCCCAACUAUGGCAUCUACAUGAGAUGCUCACUUAUUUAAGCUCAACUGGAACUAAGUGGGUGACCCCUUGAUUGUGCUACUACCCAUUAUGUACCCACCCAUACCCACCACUCCAAGGCUGAACAGAAAGGGUUGUCUGACACCCAGGUUUUAUUGUUUCCACUUUAUUGCUCAAGCAUGGAACUUGAGGCAAGCCUGGACCUUCAGCAACGUGCAGAGAAGAGGCUGAGGGGAUUUUGGGACACAACCUGGCCGAGAGGGGAAACUGACAGGGGAAAUACCAGAACAGGGAACAGGGGGUGGUCACCAUGACACCAGAAGACAUCAUCAGCCACACCGUCGGGGGUGAGGAAGGGAACAGAGAGAAGAAAUGGCAUAGCAGUGGUUUUUCCCAUGUCCCUAGCACCCACAUGGAGGCCACAUUUGGAAAUGGACUGGGAGAGGGAAAGGAUGAGGAAAACGGCUGCCCAGGAGUCUCCCUCUCCACCCUGGGUUCUUAUCAGACCUCAUCCCUACCACUUGCCUCUUCUACCCUUAGAAAAUGGACCUAACAGAGGGAGCAAAAUAAAUUAACAUUCUGAUGAAUAUAUAUGGAUGGACAUAUGUUCAUGUGCAAUGGAGGAAGGGAAGAGGGGCUGACACCAGCUAAAAUGAUUCCCCACCUCAAUCCCCCAGCCUACACCUUUCCCCCUUCCCCUAAAGCCACCAUCCAACCAGAUAGAAAAAUAAAGGUCUAAUUCACUCAAAAUUCUUCAGUUUUUACAAAACUAACAGGGUGGAGUGGGGAGACUGGGGGGCAGGCAGCCGCAGGAGUAGGGCUGGUGGAGAGGGGCUAUGCUUCUGUCUCCACCUGAGACUGGCUCCCUGCCGUGUUGCUCUUCUGCUCCUCCUUCAUCUCUGUGUCAGUGGGAUGGUCUCCUGAGGAAGCCUCUGCCUUGGCCUGCAAGGAAGAUGAACAGCAAACGGGCUGACUUCCCAAGUGAAAAAACACACACUUAAUUUCCAGCAGAAUUACACAGAUACACCCAUUCUCCUACAUCUGUCCUAAAG
rnacentral:lncRNA from 10 species